rnacentral:tRNA from 1 species
CCACUGGUGGUUUAGUGGUAGAAUUCUUGCCUUCCAAGUGGGAGACCCAGGUUCAAUUUCUGGCCAAUGUA